UAAAAAAACUCUUAAACUAUAUAAACAACAAUGAGAACUCAAGGAAUCUAUAAGAGACAGUUUUACAGAAUUCUAAUCGGUGGUUUGGGUACUGGAAUCGCAGCAGCUCUUUUUUGGGAGUAUAAGUUUGGCUACUGGCAUCAUAAGCAUCAGUAUGAAACAUUUUACAAACAAUUAAGAGAACAAGAGAGUUUGGAAAAGGGUUCUUCUUAACUUAAAAAAGUAGGAAUGACCACAGCUGAAAGAUUGUUG